rnacentral:rRNA from 1 species
AGAGUUUGAUCCUGGCUCAGGAUGAACGCUAGCGACAGGCUUAACACAUGCAAGUCGAGGGGCAGCGGGGAAGUUAGCUUGCUAACUUUUGCCGGCGACCGGCGCACGGGUGAGUAACACGUAUGCAACCUGCCCAUCGCAGGGGGAUAAUCGGAAGAAAUUCCGUCUAAUACCGCGUAACAUGACUUUAGGGCAUCUUGGAGUCAUCAAAGAUUUAUCGGCGAUGGAUGGGCAUGCGGCGCAUUAGGUAGUUGGUAAGGUAACGGCUUACCAAGCCGACGAUGUCUAGGGGAGCUGAGAGGCUUAUCCCCCACACUGGUACUGAGACACGGACCAGACUCCUACGGGAGGCAGCAGUGAGGAAUAUUGGUCAAUGGACGGAAGUCUGAACCAGCCAUGCCGCGUGAAGGAAGACGGCCCUAUGGGUUGUAAACUUCUUUUGUUUGGGGGUAAUAAGAGUCGUGCGCGGCUUGAUGAAAGUACCAGACGAAUAAGCAUCGGCUAACUCCGUGCCAGCAGCCGCGGUAAUACGGAGGAUGCAAGCGUUAUCCGGAUUUAUUGGGUUUAAAGGGUGCGUAGGCGGACUGUUAAGUCAGUGGUGAAAUAUGUCGGCUCAACCGGCAGGCUGCCAUUGAUACUGACAGACUCGAGUCCAAACGGCGCAGGCGGAAUAUGUCAUGUAGCGGUGAAAUGCAUAGAUAUGACAUAGAACACCGAUCGCGAAGGCAGCUUGCGAGGAUGCGACUGACGCUGAGGCACGAAAGCGUGGGUAUCAAACAGGAUUAGAUACCCUGGUAGUCCACGCAGUAAACGAUGAUAACUUGUUGUCGGCGAUAGAAUGUCGGUGACAAAGCGAAAGCGAUAAGUUAUCCACCUGGGGAGUACGAUCGCAAGGUUGAAACUCAAAGGAAUUGACGGGGGCCCGCACAAGCGGAGGAGCAUGUGGUUUAAUUCGAUGAUACGCGAGGAACCUUACCUAGACUCAAAUGUUGGAUGACCGUUCCAGAGAUGGGAUUUCCCUUCGGGGCAUCCAGCAAGGUGCUGCAUGGUUGUCGUCAGCUCGUGCCGUGAGGUGUCAGGUUAAGUCCUAUAACGAGCGCAACCCCUACGUCCAGUUGCCAGCGAGUAAAGUCGGGGACUCUGGGGGGACUGCCGGCGCAAGCCGCGAGGAAGGUGGGGAUGACGUCAAAUCAGCACGGCCCUUACGUCUAGGGCGACACACGUGCUACAAUGGCCGGUACAGAGGGCAGCUACACCGUGAGGUGAUGCGAAUCUCGAAAGCCGGUCUCAGUUCGGAUUGGAGUCUGCAACCCGACUCCAUGAAGUUGGAUUCGCUAGUAAUCGCGCAUCAGCCAUGGCGCGGUGAAUACGUUCCCGGGCCUUGCACACACCGCCCGUCAAG